rnacentral:rRNA from 1 species
UGGCGAUGAACGGGAACAGGGCAUCGCGGACUGCAGGUCAUCUUGGCCUCGCGGAAUGUCGCGUUCGGGAGAGUCUUCUCGAGGACCGGACGGCCAGUCAAAGUCCAACUUGACAGUGGCCACUGCCCAUAGAGGGUGAUAGGCCCGUAAGGCGGCUGUCCGUUUUCGCUGACUUUUUCCCUAGAGUCGGGUUGCUUGGGAGUGCAGCCCAAAGUGCGAGGUAAACUCCUCGUAACCCUAAAUAUGACCCCGAGACCGAUAGCAAACAAGUACGGUGACGGAAGAUUGAAAAGAACUUUGAAGAGAGAGUUCAAUAGUACGUGAAACUGUGUGGUGGUAAACGCAGGGGUUCUCGAAGUUUCUGUGGGGAACUCAGCCUUGGUGUCGCGUGGCCCUGUUGUAUCUGAUCAGCAAUGACAGUGCGGCUUGGCCGACGUGUCUCUCGGGUGCAUUUCCCCCGCAGUUUACGGCAGGAACUGUUUGGAGCGCACCGAAGGCCUCGGGUGAAGUUGUUGGUUCUGCCGGCAGCCCUGGGUGUCCUGGCUUCGCACCAGACAGGUACGUGAGAGGACUCGUAUAGCGAGCAAUGCUCUGUUGCGGUUCUCAUCUCUCUGCCGAGUAGGUCGGCGGCCCCUGCGACCCGUCUUGAAACACGGACC